CAAAACUGUUACAGAAACAACAAUGAAGAAUUCUUCUACGUCUGAGUGCAAUGGUAUUCCUGAGUCUCCACCCAGGACUUUCAUGACUGACGGUAGUGAAAACUGAACUACUGAUAUGAUGAAGGAAAUCCUGAACACUGCCAGAGAUGGAGGACCUUCAUUGCCGCCAUAAACGCCAGCAGUGUAAUAAGCCGUAGAGGUACAACGGAAUCACUGGUACACUUGGAAAGACCGGGUCCUUGGAUGGUGGAGGGGAAGUGGAAGGACAAGGGUCACAUUGCCUGCAACAGUACGAGGAUGGAACAAUAAGGACGGUGGUGCAGUGUUGCAGGAAUGGACUUCUCAAACGAUAAAAUGGACUCUUUACCUCACAAUCUACCUCAUUGUGAUAUCGCACUUUACUUACAGUGUACUAUAAUUUUUCAAUAGUUUUUAUGGUUUUUAUUCUGCAUUUUUAUGGUUUUACCUUUUUCCAGCUCAAUGCACUGAGAAAUGAUUUGAUCUGUUUGAACAGUACACGAGACAAGCUGUUCAAUGUAUCUUGGCACAUGUGACAAUAAUAAACCAAUACCAGUGCCAUUUCUAUUUGAACCAUAAAUUCUGAGGGUAAAAUAAUGUACUCUUCAAUUUUUUUACUGAAAUUUUACUGCGAAUCUCCUCAGAUGAUGCUAACUUCAAAGUAAUAUACAGUAUUCAUAAAUUAUACUUUCAAAUCUACUCAGAUGAUUCAUCCACAUCCCACACCAUGUCUGAAUCCUUUUGAAGUAGGUGCCAUCGUAUUG